rnacentral:rRNA from 1 species
AGCAGCCGCGGUAAUUCCAGCUCCAAUAGCGUAUAUUAAAGUUGUUGCAGUUAAAAAGCUCGUAGUUGAAUUUCGGGAUCAAAUUGUUGGUCGUGCUUCGGUACGCACUGGCAUUAUUGGUUCCUACCUUCUGAAGAACCGCGAUGUCAUUAAUUUGGUGUCGUGGGGAACCAGGACUGUUACUUUGAAAAAAUUAGAGUGUUUAAAGCAGGCUUACGCUUGAAUACAUUAGCAUGGAAUAAUGAAAUAGGACGUUUGAUUCUAUUUUGUUGGUUUCUAGGAUCGACGUAAUGAUUAAUAGGGAUAGUUGGGGGCAUUAGUAUUCAAUUGUCAGAGGUGAAAUUCUUGGAUUUAUUGAAGACUAACUACUGCGAAAGCAUUUGCCAAGGAUGUUUUCAUUAAUCAAGAACGAAAGUUAGGGGAUCGAAGACGAUCAGAUACCGUCGUAGUCUUAACCAUAAACUAUGCCGACUAGGGAUCGGAUGAUGUUAAUUUUUUAAUGACUCAUUCGGCGCCUUACG